CACGCCGUAAACGAUGAGUACUAGGUGUAGGGGGUAUCGACCCCCCCUGUGCCGCAGUAAACACAAUAAGUACUCCGCCUGGGAAGUACGAUCGCAAGAUUAAAACUCAAAGGAAUUGACGGGGACCCGCACAAGCAGCGGAGCAUGUGGUUUAAUUCGAAGCAACGCGAAGAACCUUACCAGGGCUUGACAUCCUACUAACGAAGUAGAGAUACAUCAGGUGCCCUUCGGGGAAAGUAGAGACAGGUGG
rnacentral:rRNA from 1 species